rnacentral:rRNA from 1 species
UACGUAGGGUGCGAGCGUUGUCCGGAAUUACUGGGCGUAAAGAGCUUGUAGGCGGUUUGGCGCGUCUGCCGUGAAAAUUCGAGGCUCAACCUCGAACUUGCGGUGGGUACGGGCAGACUAGAGUGUGGUAGGGGAGACUGGAAUUCCUGGUGUAGCGGUGAAAUGCGCAGAUAUCAGGAGGAACACCGAUGGCGAAGGCAGGUCUCUGGGCCACUACUGACGCUGAGAAGCGAAAGCAUGGGGAGCGAACAGG